rnacentral:rRNA from 1 species
UACGUAGGGGGCAAGCGUUGUCCGGAUUUAUUGGGCGUAAAGAGCGUGUAGGCGGCCAUACAGGUCAGCUGUGAAAACCCGAGGCUCAACCUCGGGCCUGCAGUGGGUACGGGCAGACUAGAGUGCGGUAGGGGGAGAAUGGAACUCCUGGUGUAGCGGUGGAAUGCGCAGAUAUCGGGAGGAACACCAAUAGCGAAGGCAGCUCGCUGGGACGUUACGUGACACUGAGAUGCGAAAGCGUGGGGAGCAACAGGG